GCGGAUUAUUGACAAUUGGUUAUGGGGCCAGCUAUCCAUGUAAAGAAAUAAAGAUCGUUAUAAUCAAGUGCUAAUUCAGAAUGCUCAACGUGCCAACGACUUCUUUGAGCUUUCGAACUAUAGCAUAGCUCAUAAAGAAUCAGGACGAAGAUGAGAUGAGAUGAAAUCGGCAGAACAUCGAUGAUAUAAGCCUCGUCUAGGGG
rnacentral:lncRNA from 1 species